AGGGCGUCGUGCCUUUAUAAGACUGCGUUAAUGUUUCCGUGGAGUUAUCCUUUCCGUUGUUGUUUAUUGCUUGUUAAACAUGGCUUCAUUUGCAAAGGUGGUUGUGUGUGUCCUCAUUGCUUGUGUCUGUAAUGCAUUCGGUUUUCCGAAGAGAGAUGUGAACUUUAAGGCCUCUGCAGUUGACCGCCAAAGUGAUGAUGUGGUUGUCACCACAACACCCGUUCCCCACAACCAGACCACCUCUGCCCAUACUGAAGCUGGUGGUGGUGCAAGUGAAGAUGCUGUGGCUACUACCCAGCACCUAAUCCACACAACCAGACAACUUCUGCACAAACUGAAGUUACUGAUGGAGCCAGUGAAGAUGCUGUGGACCGCCAAAGUGAUGUGGUUGUCGCCACAACACCCAAUCCCCACAACCAGACCACAUCUGCCCCUACUGAAGCUGGUGAUGGAGCAAGUGAAGAUGCUGUGGCUACCACCCCAACACCAAAUCCCCCAACUACAUCUGACCACACUGCAGCUACGGUAAGGACAUCAGUGCAUGUCUGUUUUGAUGGAACACUUUGAAUGUUUGCGCCCCCCUUUUGACAGUGUCGCUUUCUAUUUGUGUGUAAUCGCAAGAUGAUGCAAGUGAGGGUGCUGUGGCUGCCCAAACUGGAACUACUG
rnacentral:lncRNA from 1 species